AGAGUUUGAUCAUGGCUCAGAUUGAACGCUGGCGGCAUGCUUUACACAUGCAAGUCGAACGGCAGCGCGGGGGCAACCCUGGCGGCGAGUGGCGAACGGGUGAGUAAUGCAUCGGAACGUAUCCUGUAGUGGGGGAUAACGUAGCGAAAGUUACGCUAAUACCGCAUACGCUCGAGAGAGGAAAGUGGGGGAUCGCAAGACCUCACGUUAUAGGAGCGGCCGAUGUCCGAUUAGCUAGUUGGUGGGGUAAAGGCCUACCAAGGCGACGAUCGGUAGCUGGUCUGAGAGGAUGAUCAGCCACACUGGGACUGAGACACGGCCCACACUCCUACGGGAGGCAGCAGUGGGGAAUUUUGGACAAUGGGCGAAAGCCUGAUCCAGCCAUGCCGCGUGCGGAAAGAAGGCCUUCGGGUUGUAAACCGCUUUAGUCCGAGAAAAAGGGGUGCGAGGAUAAUACCCUCGUGCUUUGAUGGUACUGAAAGAAUAAGCACCGGCUAACUACGUGCCAGCAGCCGCGGUAAUACGUAGGGUGCGAGCGUUAAUCGGAAUUACUGGGCGUAAAGCGUGCGCAGGCUGUCUUGUAAGACAGUCGUGAAAGCCCCGGGCUUAACCUGAGAACUGCGAUUGUGACUGCAAGGCUAGAGUGUGUCAGAAGGGGGGGUGGAAUUUCCACGUGUAGCAGUGAAAUGCGUAGAGAUGGGGAGGAACCACCGGAUGGCGACGCACCCCCCUGAGAUUACACUGACGCUCAUGCACGAAGCGUGGGGAGCAACAGGAUUAGAUACCCUGUAGUCCACGCCCUAACGAUGUCUACUUGGUUUGUUGUGAGAAGGGUUAAUCUUUUAGUACCGAGCCUACGCGUGUGGUCGACCGGCUGGGGGGAGUACGGUCGCAGAUCAACCAGUAUCGACGGACCGUAACGGGGGAGAGAUAGAGUGGUUUUAAAUUGCGG
rnacentral:rRNA from 1 species